GCACCAGUGGCUCAGUGGUUAAGAGCUUCAGCUGCUAACCAAAAGGCUGGCAGUUUGAAUCCACCUGGUGCU
rnacentral:tRNA from 1 species